UGUAUUAGAUAUAUAGUAUUCAAAAUACUGCCAAAGGUGAAUUUUUCAAUUGCAAAAAACUAUUGAAUGACAUCACAAAAAGUGCUGUUAAACCAAGCGUGUAUUUAUGAAAGAAGUUUUUGUUGUUGAGAAUUUCCAAAUGACAUUUACAUAUACAACUCAAGGGAUAUAUGCAAGUAUCUUCAAGAUGAGUAUUUUUCCCUUUAGGAUCAAUGCAUACCUGAUUUUUAUGUUGGUGCCACAAUGGCAACCCAGCUGAAUUUUAAUUAUUUUUUUAAGGAUUUUGCCUUUGAAUGCUGUUAGUAUAUAUAGAUCUCACAACAAAUUGUUUGUUCUACACAUUUUGUAUCAAAUUUCAAUGAUAACUUAUAGGCUGCCCAAAGUUAAUUCUACAUUUAACAUCAACUUCAAAAUAACAAAUCUAGAGUAAAAUUAAAAUAUUUUCAUGUAAGUGAAUUUUAUUCAUUUAUAUUAAUACAAAUGUGACAAGUACAUAAGCUACAUGUAAAACUAACUGGUAAAAUUAUCUUUCCUGUCAGUUUUAAAGAUAAUUUCAUUAAUCAUUCGAUGUAAUAUCCAUAAUGUGUCCAAUUAAUGUCGUAUUUCUACAGAUUGCAGUGUUUUUAUUGCAGAAAGUUAAACCAAACUGGAAAAAAUUAAAAAAAAUAAUGAUCUCUUCGAUUUUUUUAAACAACAAUUUUUCCCAACAUUGUUCAUGUUAAAUAUAGAAUUAACUGUAGACAGCCUUAGUUUGUAAACAGUUUUUAAAAGAAACACCUUAGGAAUUGUAUAUUUUAAAAACAUCCAACUUUUUUGACAUGUUUUGAUUCAUGUUUUAUCGAUUUUUUCAUUCAACUUAUCAGAGGGCUGAAGUCUCAAUCAAUUGUAAAGUCUUAGUCAUUUUGGUUAAAUUCAUUUACACUGUUAUGAAUAAAAAAAAGUUGUCUUUU
rnacentral:sRNA from 1 species